rnacentral:rRNA from 1 species
CCUACGGGUGGCUGCAGUGGGGAAUAUUGGACAAUGGGGGCAACCCUGAUCCAGCCAUGCCGCGUGUGUGAAGAAGGCCUUCGGGUUGUAAAGCACUUUUGUUGGGGAAGAAACCGGCCGGGUUAAUACCCUAGUUGAAUGACGGUACCCAAAGAAUAAGCACCGGCUAACUUCGUGCCAGCAGCCGCGGUAAUACGAAGGGUGCAAGCGUUACUCGGAGCUACUGGAGGCGAAUCGUGAAGUGGGGGGUGAAAGCCCUGGGCUCAACCUGGGAACUGCAGUGGAUACUGGCGAGCUAGAGUGUGUCAGAGGAUGGUGGAAUUCCCGGUGUAGCGGUGAAAUGCGUAGAGAUCGGGAGGAACACCAGUGGCGAAGGCGGCCAUCUGGGACAACACUGACGCUGAGGCACGAAAGCGUGGGGAGCAAACAGGAUUAGAUACCCCUGUAGUC